rnacentral:rRNA from 1 species
AUUGAACGCUGGCGGCAGGCCUAACACAUGCAAGUCGAGCGGAUGAAGAGAGCCUGCUCUCUGAUUUAGCGGCGGACGGGUGAGUAAUGCCUAGGAAUCUGCCUGGUAGUGGGGGAUAACGUUCCGAAAGGAACGCUAAUACCGCAUACGUCCUACGGGAGAAAGCAGGGGACCUUCGGGCCUUGCGCUAUCAGAUGAGCCUAGGUCGGAUUAGCUAGUUGGUGAGGUAAUGGCUCACCAAGGCGACGAUCCGUAACUGGUCUGAGAGGAUGAUCAGUCACACUGGAACUGGGACACGGUCCAGACUCCUACGGGAGGCAGCAGUGGGGAAUAUUGGACAAUGGGCGAAAGCCUGAUCCAGCCAUGCCGCGUGUGUGAAGAAGGUCUUCGGAUUGUAAAGCACUUUAAGUUGGGAGGAAGGGCAUUAACCUAAUACGUUAGUGUUUUGACGUUACCAACAGAAUAAGCACCGGCUAACUUCGUGCCAGCAGCCGCCGUAAAAC